UGCAGUCGAACGGUAACAGGUCUUCGGAUGCUGACGAGUGGCGAACGGGUGAGUAAUACAUCGGAACGUGCCCGAUCGUGGGGGAUAACGGAGCGAAAGCUUUGCUAAUACCGCAUACGAUCUACGGAUGAAAGCAGGGGACCGCAAGGCCUUGCGCGGACGGAGCGGCCGAUGGCAGAUUAGGUAGUUGGUGGGAUAAAAGCUUACCAAGCCGACGAUCUGUAGCUGGUCUGAGAGGACGACCAGCCACACUGGGACUGAGACACGGCCCAGACUCCUACGGGAGGCAGCAGUGGGGAAUUUUGGACAAUGGGCGAAAGCCUGAUCCAGCCACGCCGCGUGCAGGAUGAAGGCCUUCGGGUUGUAAACUGCUUUUGUACGGAACGAAAAGACUCCUUCUAAUAAAGGGGGUUCAUGACGGUACCGUAAGAAUAAGCACCGGCUAACUACGUGCCAGCAGCCGCGGUAAUACGUAGGGUGCAAGCGUUAAUCGGAAUUACUGGGCGUAAAGCGUGCGCAGGCGGUUAUAUAAGACAGAUGUGAAAUCCCCGGGCUCAACCUGGGAACUGCAUUUGUGACUGUAUAGCUAGAGUACGGUAGAGGGGGAUGGAAUUCCGCGUGUAGCAGUGAAAUGCGUAGAUAUGCGGAGGAACACCGAUGGCGAAGGCAAUCCCCUGGACCUGUACUGACGCUCAUGCACG
rnacentral:rRNA from 1 species